UGUCCGACGAAGCUAGGUGACUUGGGAGAAUAUUGACACUUCCGUUAACAAAACUUACAAAUACAUUUAUAAUAAACCUUGCUACUUAGACACAUGGAAAGUGUCUAAAUACCAAACAUCACGUAUGUGGCUGUAACAGACGUCCCAUGUUUGGAAAGCUUCUUAUUCAGCAAAGAUCUAGCUGGCAAUGGACAUAUGACUCCGACAAAACGAUAAAUAUGGCAUAUAUGUUACUUGGUCUGACGACUGUGCUUGUGAUUAUUCCAGCUCACUGUGCAUAUUCGUUUGGUCGACAGUUCAUUUUCGGAAUCCCAGAGACAUAUAGCUCGCCCGAUUGUAUCAGGAUGUACAUUGUAAGCAAGGAUGUUUCCAAAGUAUAUAUGACUGCUCCCGGAAUCGGGUUCAACCAAAGUAUAACAACAUCUGCACAAACGUCCACUACAGUAAUUAUUCCAGGCAAUGUUGUAGCCACUUCAACCGAUUAUUCCAACAAAGUCGUUUAUGUUGAAGCGGACCAACCCAUAUCCGUACAUGUCAUGGUUAGGAAUGAGCACACCUCAGAUGGCUUCCUACUUUUACCCAUUUCUGAUGACGCCAUCGAUUUCUUUGUUGCAUCAUACGAACCCAGAGAACGGACUAGCCAGUUUAUUAUCGCUGCUCUUGAAGACAACACUCGGAUUGAAGUUCAACUGAAAACAUCUGCUGGAGCUAUACCAAUUGGUGGAGGAAGUUACAGCACUGGGAAGAAAGUCUCAUUUGCACUAGGCAAAUUGCAAACGUACUUGGUGCAACAUGAAUAUGACUUGACAGGAACGCACAUAACUAGUUCUAAACCUAUUUCGGUUGUAUCAGGUAAUAAAUGUGCGAAUGUUCCACAUGAUGUAACUGCAUGCGAUUACUUAGCUGAGCAGUUGCUUCCAGCUCGUUUUUGGCAAAAGAAUAUUUGUGUGCGAGACUCAAAACUAGAAGAAACAACAGAUUGCGCGUGCUUUCUUCAAAAAAUGAUACCUCAUUCCACAUAGGAACAACACGCGUUACACUCAAUGAAGGUGAGUGCUAUGCAUAUGUCAGCUCAAGUGAUGCUGUUAAAUCAGUGAUAUCAAAUCAUCCGGUCUUAGUACUUCAAUUUUCCGAAGGAACAUCUGCGGAUUCAGUGAUAGGAUAGCAUGAUUACAGUUCCCGCUACAGAAAAUCAAGAAACUGAAUAUAUCUACGAAACUCCAACGUCCCUGUCUUACCACCAUGCCUCGAUAACUAUCAAGACAGACCAGGCAACCGGACUACGAAUUGACGGUGCUUCAUUUGACCGUUCAGAUGAACUGAGAACAACAUUAAACAAUAUUCAGACGGACCAUGAGACGCGGUUUGUGUUCCAAGCGUUCCAGAUGAGCGGAUCAGACCAUCGCCUGUACAUCACAUGUGACGCCACGCUAUGUGACACGUCAGAGGUGACGUCUUCCCAGCAGUGUGAUCAGAGGCCUCACUGCACGAAGAAAAAAUAAUCUUAAAGAAAUGUCUUUAUUGAUAAUUUCACAAUUGUAUACAUACGUGUAAUUACAAUUUGCCGUGGUUAAAAUGAUUAAAACCCAAAACUAUU